UACGGAGGGUGCGAGCGUUGUCCGGAAUCACUGGGCGUAAAGGGCGCGUAGGCGGCCUGAUAAGUAGGGGGUGAAAUCCUGCGGCUUAACCGCAGGGCUGCCUUCUAAACUGUCAGGCUAGAGCACAGUAGAGGCAGGUGGAAUUCCCGGUGUAGCGGUGGAAUGCGUAGAGAUCGGGAAGAACAUCAGUGGCGAAGGCGGCCUGCUGGGCUGUUGCUGACGCUGAGGCGCGACAGCGU
rnacentral:rRNA from 1 species